GGCUAAUAAUCUACCAGCAACAGGGAGGAUGCAUCUCACUGUGAAAUGCUUCAUCUUUUGGCAUCGAGUCCUUUUCUAAGCUAUAAUUGGUGUUUCCGUGAAGGCGGGGGCACAAGGAUUGGACCCAUUGGUCCACCGGAAUCAUGGAAAUUAUUGUUGGAGUAACUCUCAACGCGGUACGCGGCUACGGUUAGCGGAACAUGGUAGACCACUCAACUCCCCUUCCCACAACGCCUGAAUUUCUGAAUAAAUGUUUUAAUUUUCAGUAAUAAUUUGUGGUUAGUAGGAUUUCAGUUUUUUAGGGAAAUUUGGUUUCAUAUCUUGGAUUAAUUUUUCUACUAGGGAAACUUGAAUCGGAAAGCUUAUCUGCGGAACGUUUGCUGGGAGCGUUUUCCCAGCGAACGCCCCCACAGCCUUUGGAAAAAAGUUUUUGAGGGGAAAAAAGUUGCCUUAUAAGGAAAGAACAGCCAUGUGCUCUGAUAAAAUUGCCAGACGAUGUACCUGCAAACUGCCAGCUGGGGCGUUCGGAAAUGCCAUGUCUGGCAGCGAACGUUCGCCCCCUAUUGAGGUCCUGAAUCGGUCAGUUGCUGUUACAAGCUUCUGG
rnacentral:lncRNA from 1 species